rnacentral:rRNA from 1 species
UACGGAGGGUGCAAACGUUGCUCGGAAUCAUUGGGCGUAAAGAGCUCGUAGGCGGCCUGUUGCGUCCGCUGUGAAAUCCCGGGGCUUAACCCCGGGCGUGCAGUGGAUACGGGCUGGCUGGAGGCAGGCAGGGGAGAACGGAAUUCCCGGUGUAGCGGUGAAAUGCGCGGAUAUCGGGAGGAACACCGGUGGCGAAGGCGGUUCUCUGGGCCUGUACUGACGCUGAGGAGCGAAAGCGUGGGGAGCGAACAGG